rnacentral:rRNA from 1 species
UACGUAGGUGGCAAGCGUUGUCCGGAAUUACUGGGCGUAAAGCGUACGUAGGCGGAUUGUUAAGUGAGGGGUGAAAUCCCGAGGCUCAACCUCGGAACUGCCUUUCAUACUGGCAAUCUUGAGUCCGGGAGAGGUGAGUGGAACUCCUAGUGUAGAGGUGAAAUUCGUAGAUAUUAGGAAGAACACCAGUGGCGAAGGCGGCUCACUGGCCCGGAACUGACGCUGAGGUACGAAAGCGUGGGGAGCAAACAGG